CAGAAUGUAUCUUAUAUUAAAGUCAAUUAUUUACAUUAAUUUUAAAACAUUUAUGUUCUUUCUGA
rnacentral:tRNA from 1 species